AACCCGACUCCGUGAAGCUGGAUUCGCUAGUAAUCGCGCAUCAGCCAUGGCGCGGUGAAUACGUUCCCGGGCCUUGUACACACCGCCCGUCAAGCCAUGGAAGCCGGGGGGCGCUUGAAGUGCGUUGCCGCAAGGCGCGCCCUAGAGCGAAACCGGUGACUGGGGCUAAGUCGUAACAAGGUAUC
rnacentral:rRNA from 1 species